GAUGAACGCUGGCGGCGUGCCUAAUACAUGCAAGUCGAGCGAACAGACGAGGAGCUUGCUCCUCUGACGUUAGCGGCGGACGGGUGAGUAACACGUGGAUAAACUACCUAUAAGACUGGGAUAACUUCGGGAAACCGGAGCUAAUACCGGAUAAUAUAUUGAACCGCAUGGUUCAAUAGUGAAAGACGGUUUUGCUGUCACUUAUAGAUGGAUCCGCGCCGCAUUAGCUAGUUGGUAAGGUAACGGCUUACCAAGGCAACGAUGCGUAGCCGACCUGAGAGGGUGAUCGGCCACACUGGAACUGAGACACGGUCCAGACUCCUACGGGAGGCAGCAGUAGGGAAUCUUCCGCAAUGGGCGAAAGCCUGACGGAGCAACGCCGCGUGAGUGACGAAGGUCUUCGGAUCGUAAAACUCUGUUAUUAGGGAAGAACAAAUGUGUAAGUAACUAUGCACGUCUUGACGGUACCUAAUCAGAAAGCCACGGCUAACUACGUG
rnacentral:rRNA from 1 species